ACUACAAUCCGCCUCGUUGGUGCCCGUGCCGGCUCGUCUGCCGGCACAGUUAAACGGGAAGCAGAAGGACGACGCCGCGCAUGCGGCCGACCCCGAAUCUGCGCUGCCCCCGCAACGGUACGGCGGACGAUGGUCCUGAAGGCUUCACAGCCCGACGACAUCGGUCCUUGCGCAACACCACUGGAAGCGAGGCGCUUCUGGGAAGGUCGCAAGGGCAGGUCCGCCAGCCCGGAUACCGGCCAACAGGGGGUGCUGCGC
rnacentral:ncRNA from 2 species